rnacentral:rRNA from 1 species
UACGUAGGAUGCAAGCGUUGUUCGGAAUUACUGGGCGUAAAGAGUACGUAGGCGGUUUGAUAAGUCUGAAAUUAAAGACAGAAGCUUAACUUCUGGAAUGUGUCGGAAACUAUCAGACUAGAGGACAAUAGAGGAAGUCGGAAUUCUCAGUGUAGCGGUGAAAUGCGUAGAUAUUGGGAAGAACACCGGUGGCGAAGGCGGCUCACUGGCUCGUUUCUGACGCUCAGGCGCGACAGCGUGGGGAUCAAACAGG